GCCCCCGUAGCUCAGCCGGACAGAGCAGCUGCCUUCUAAGCAGUUUGUCGCAGGUUCGAAUCCUGCCGGGGGCG
rnacentral:tRNA from 1 species